UCGGAGGAAACGGUCACCUUGAUGGAAGGAAUGUGAGAGGAUCGAUCACCUUGAUGGAAGGAAUGUGAGAGGAACGAUCACCUUGAUGGAAGGAAUGUGAGAGGAUCGAUCACCUUGAUGGAAGGAAUGUGAGAGGAACGAUCACCUUGAUGGAAGGUACGUCGGAGGAAACGACCACCUUGAUGGAAGGAAUGUGAGAGGAACGAUCACCUUGAUGGAAGGUACGUCGGAGGAAACGACCAUCUUGAUGGAAGGAAUGUGAGAGGAACGAUCACCUUGAUGGAAGGAAUGUGAGAGGAUCGAUCACCGUGAUGGAAGGUACGUCGGAGGAAACGACCACCUUGAUGGAAGGAAUGUGAGAGGAACGAUCACCGUGAUGGAAGGAAUGUGAGAGGAUCGAUCACCGUGAUGGAAGGAAUGUGAGAGGAUCGAUCACCGUGAUGGAAGGUACGUCGGAGGAAACGACCACCUUGAUGGAAGGAAUGUGAGAGGAACGAUCACCUUGAUGGAAGGAACGUCAGAGGAAACGACCACCUUGAUGGAAGGAACGUCUGAGGAAAUGGUCACCUUGAUGGAAGGAAUGUUGAAGGAAAUGGUCACUUUGAUGGAAGGAACGUCUGAGUAAACGGUCACCUGGAUGGAAGGAACGUUGGAGGAAACAUUGUCGGGAGAUGCAGCGGUACAAGGAGGUUUAUGAGAAAUCCAAAGGCCCAGAACCUCUUCAUACCCGAUGUAGAGUUGCAGCAUUCCAAGAACAUCCGCGCGUUCAUCUCUGAGUUCAAGUACAAAGGUGAGAAAGUCUCCUCUGGUUCGGCUUACUCUCAACUCCCUGAGACGAUGGAGACGGAGACAGAGAGAGCUCGAGCGCUCACAGAGACGCAGAGCAAGUACAAAGAGAGCGGGAAGAAAAAUAUCUCCCAAAUCAUCUAUCUGGUCUAGCUGAUACCAUGGAUACCCAAUCUGUCAGAAAUGUGUCUGAACUGCAAAGUCAGGUGAAAAGAGCAGCAGACGAAGUACAAGAAGGCAGUGGAGAAGAAGGCAAGGUCUCUCUACUCUGUGAUGCGAGAGACUCUGGAGACCCAACAUGCCAAGCGGUCUCCCAGCUCCAGAUCCAGGCCAAGUACAAGGAGGCAGGGAAGCAGCAGUUCUCCACUUCUCUCUACUCAAAGCUUCCAGAGACUUUGGAGACUCAGCACGCCAAAGAGGCCUCCCAGCUACAGAGUGUGCUGAAAUACAAGCAAGGUGGCUAAAAGGAUACCUCCAGUUCUCUGUACUCCCUGCUUCCAGAAACGACAGAGAUCCAGCUAGCCAAAGAGCACCAGGAUAUUAACAGUGAGUUCACUCAUCUUGAUUUUCAUAUUGAAAAAAUACUUAAUUUUGUGGGGUUUUUUGCUAAAUUUGAGCAAAAUGACAAAAGUGACACGCAGGAACUGUCCAUCUGCUUGUACACACAACUCCCUGAAACCAUGGAGACCAAGUUUGCUGAAGAAAUGUCUCAAGAAAUGUCUCAGGGAAGAAACAGGCUUCAGAUUCUCUGGACUCCACCUCAAAACUAUGGAGACCCAGCACACCGAAGAGGCUUCCCAGCUACAGAGUGAGACAGCAGGGGCGGACUGAGACCAGAAAUUGUCCCUGGCAUUUCUAACCCACCGGACCAUUUUUUCCCCUUAAGGCCCCAAUUAUUAACCAAAUUAUUAUCAUUUUGCGCAAAGAAACAACAACUUAGACAGGCCCACUGGGCUAGAAAAGAACCGGCCAGUCCACCCCUGUGAGGUAAAGUAAAGACCAAAUGUGCCCUAUGCUAUAUUCCACCAAUUCUAAGAUACACAUAAAGGCAGUGUUUUUAACCAUACACAUUUAGAAAUAAAUGCUGUGAUAAGUAUUUUCAGUGAAAAUAUCAUCCUAGGGCUUAUUGAGUUUUCCAAUUUGUCUUCUUUCCAUAACAAGUACAAGGAGAAUGUGAAACUGGCUUAAUACUGUUGUCUGUACGCUCA